UAGGUUGUCUCACCUGGAGGGCCAUGUUAUGACUUUUAUGUUCCCCAGGCACUUGUGCCUUUGUGGAACCUUUCAUUCAUGAAUGAAAGAUUAAAAAUUUUAUUUUAUGAUUGCAUUGGUACAAAGAUGAAUAUAUUAAUAUUCUUUAAGCUAAGAGUUCUCUUUUUUCUUCUAAAUCUAAAAGAAGUUAAAACAUUACUAUGGGAUAUGAACACUAAGCACUAUUGUGUCUAAUGGAUAAGUCGGCCUUGGCUGCCAGGCCUUCUGUUGCAUCUCAUCAGUUAAAUCAAGGUACAGGCCAGGCUACUGUGAAGGGACUACACAGGGCUACCUACCAGGAAGUAAGGUUCACUGGGGGCCAUCUUUGGAGAUUAGCUAUCACUUUUGAUCAGAACACAGUUUCAAGAAAAGAUACGUCAACCUGUAUCCUUUAACUCAUGACUUUGUGGAAAUGAUAAGAGGAAAGUAUAGUUUUCUGAUGUAAUCGAGAAGGUAGAUUUACCAGCUGUCCCCACUGGGCUAUGAACUGAACUUACAUUGGGCAAUAAUAUUCUUUGUUCCCAGAAAUUUCACUGCAGUUUGUUUUGUGCAGUUGUUGUGUUUCAUUUAAUUUUUUAUAUUAAUUUACUUAUUUUCAGGAAAGUCAGAAAAACCUCAGUAACCUGGGUUUUGGUCAAUCUGUGCAUAUCAAUGUUGAUUUUCAACCUCCUCUUUGUGUUUGGAAUUGAAAACUCCAAUAAGAACUUGCAGACAAGUAAUGGUGACAUCAAUAAUAUUGACUUUGACAAUAAUGACAUACCCAGGACAGACACCAUUAACAUCCCGAAUCCCAUGUGCACUGCGAUUGCCGCCUUACUGCACUAUUUUCUGUUAGUGACAUUUACCUGGAACGCACUCAGCGCUGCACAGCUCUAUUUCCUUCUAAUAAGGACCAUGAAACCUCUUCCUCAGCGUUUCAUUCUUUUCAUCUCAUUAAUUGGAUGGGGAGUCCCAGCUAUAGUAGUGGCUAUAACAGUGGGAGUUAUUUAUUCUCAGAAUGGAAAGAAUCCACAAUGGGAAUUAGACUACCGGCAAGAGAAAAUCUGCUGGCUGGCAAUUCCAGAACCCAAUGGUGUUAUAAAAAGUCCACUGUUGUGGUCAUUCAUCGUACCUGUAACCAUUAUCCUCAUCAGCAAUGUUUUUAUAUUUAUCAUAAUCUCAGUAAAAGUGCUAUGGAAGAAUAACCAGAACCUGACAAGCACAAAAAAAGUUUCAUCCAUGAAGAAGAUUGUUAGCACAUUAUCUGUUGCAGUUGUUUUUGGAAUUACCUGGAUUCUGGCAUACCUGAUGCUAGUUAAUGAUGAUAGCAUCAGGAUCGUCUUCAGCUACAUAUUCUGCCUUUUCAACACUACACAGGGAUUGCAAAUUUUUAUCCUGUACACUGUUAGAACAAAAAUCUUCCAGAGUGAAGCUUCCAAAGUGUUGAUGUCGCUAUUGUCUAUUGGGAGAAGGAAGUCAUUGCCUUCAGUGACACGGCCGAAGCUGCGUGUAAAGAUGUAUAAUUUCCUCAGGUCAUUGCCAACCUUACAUGAACACUUUAGGCUACUGGAAACCUCUCUGAGUACUGAGGAAAUCACACUCUCUGAAAGUGACAAAGCAAAGGAAAGCAUCUAGACAGUAAAACUUACCUGUUGUGGUCUUUUUAAUCACCUCGUUUGAGUUUUAUCUGUUUCUCUCCUUUAUUUCCCAGUCCUCUCAGAAAGUCUUCCUCAAUGUAUUUUGCUCAGGAUUAAGAAUUAGAUAAAACCUGUUGUUUAUUAUUAUUCAGGAGAAUGGACUUGGUAGUUUUUCUAUUUUUCAAUAGAUUUGUACUUGAAUAAGGUGAAGAAUUUCACACAACAUGCGAGAGUACCAUUCUUCCUUAUAUUGUUAAAUCUUUGUGACACACUUUGACAAAAAUGUAGAACCUAUAACAAAUUCUUUUACAAGUUACUAUAAAGGACACAAAGAG
rnacentral:sRNA from 1 species